rnacentral:rRNA from 1 species
UACGGGGGGGGGCAAGCGUUGUUCGGAAUUACUGGGCGUAAAGGGCUCGUAGGCGGCCAACUAAGUCAGACGUGAAAUCCCUCGGCUUAACCGGGGAACUGCGUCUGAUACUGGAUGGCUUGAGUUUGGGAGAGGGAUGCGGAAUUCCAGGUGUAGCGGUGAAAUGCGUAGAUAUCUGGAGGAACACCGGUGGCGAAGGCGGCAUCCUGGACCAAUAUUGACGCUGAGGAGCGAAAGCUAGGGGAGCAAACGGG